rnacentral:rRNA from 1 species
UACGGAGGGAGCUAGCGUUGUUCGGAAUUACUGGGCGUAAAGCGCACGUAGGCGGCUUUGUAAGUUAGAGGUGAAAGCCCGGGGCUCAACUCCGGAACUGCCUUUAAGACUGCAUCGCUUGAAUCCAGGAGAGGUGAGUGGAAUUCCGAGUGUAGAGGUGAAAUUCGUAGAUAUUCGGAAGAACACCAGUGGCGAAGGCGGCUCACUGGACUGGUAUUGACG